GCGGUGUGUAUUUACGCAGCUGCAGGGGCCCGGGAAAAGAGACCUGCAGAAAACACGUUGUGAUGCUGUUAUGUGGGCUCAUGUGAUGAUAAUAUUAUGUGACCUAGUCAGUGUGUGUGCGUGUGAGUGAGUGUUUUGGAUCCAACAUUCUUCUUCCCCGCAGUGAUGACACUUGUUUACUGCUUCUGUUCGCCCGUUUCGAGUUUGGAUUAGAUGUUGCUAUCGCCAGACCAGAAAACAUCGAGCCGCCUCUGAUCAAAGACGUGAGCAGACCGGGCGGCCACGAGUCCGUGCGCAGCACAAAGCUGGCCCACCAGUUCUGGUUCAGCUACCCCCCACCUGGGGGCGGGAGUAGCCGCUCCCAAACCGACGAAGAGAAGAAAGAGAAGAAGGAGGCGGCAGAGGCGCUGGCAAGGGCGGAGCACGCGCAACAGGCAGCCCAGCAACAGCGCGCCCAGGCUAGGGCCGAGCGUGCGUUAGAACGGGAACAGAGGGAAUUCGAGCGGGAAGUCAGGGAACACCGAGAGCAACUGGAACAGCAGCAACAACAGCAACAGCAACAGCAACAGCAACAACAGCAACAAC